rnacentral:tRNA from 1 species
CAAGAAAUAGUUUAAUUAAAAUAUUAAUUUUGGAGAUUAAAGAUAUAAUAUAUUAUUUUUUUGA